rnacentral:rRNA from 1 species
UACGAAGGGAGCUAGCGUUGUUCGGAAUCACUGGGCGUAAAGCGCACGUAGGCGGCUGUGUCAGUCAGGGGUGAAAUCCCAGAGCUCAACUCUGGAACUGCCUUUGAUACUGGGUGUCUUGAGUAUGGAAGAGGUGAGUGGAAUUCCGAGUGUAGAGGUGAAAUUCGUAGAUAUUCGGAGGAACACCAGUGGCGAAGGCGGCUCACUGGUCCAUUACUGACGCUGAGGUGCGAAAGCGUGGGGAGCAAACAGG